UACGUAGGGGGCAAGCGUUGUCCGGAAUUAUUGGGCGUAAAGAGCGUGUAGGCGGUCCGGUAAGUCAGCUGUGAAAGUCAAGGGCUCAACCCUUGAAAGCCGGUUGAUACUGUCGGGCUAGAGUCCGGAAGAGGCGAGUGGAAUUCCCGGUGUAGCGGUGAAAUGCGCAGAUAUCGGGAGGAACACCUAUGGCGAAAGGCAGCUCUCUGGGACGGUCACUGACGCUGAGGUGCGAAAGCGUGGGGAGCGAACAGG
rnacentral:rRNA from 1 species